GUAGGGAAUAUUGCGCAAUGGGGGAAACCCUGACGCAGCGACGCCGCGUGAGUGAUGAAGGCCUUAGGGUCGUAAAGCUCUGUUGAAUGGGAAGAAAAAAAUGACGGUACCAUUCGAGGAAGGACCGGCUAACUUCGUGCCAGCAGCCGCGGUAAUACGAGGGGUCCUAGCGUUGUUCGGAAUCAUUGGGCGUAAAGGGUGUGUAGGUGGCCAUGUAAGUCAGGUGUGAAAGCCCCGGGCUCAACCCGGGAAGUGCACUUGAUACUGCGUGGCUUGAGUACCGAAGAGGGUAGUGGAAUUCCAGGUGUAGUGGUGAAAUACGUAGAUAUCUGGAGGAACACCGGUGGCGAAGGCGGCUACCUGGUCGAGUACUGACACUGAGACACGAAAGCAUGGGGAUCAAACAGGAUUAGAAACCCCUGUAGUCC
rnacentral:rRNA from 1 species